GCGGGCGUGGCGGAAUUGGUAGACGCGCCAGACUUAAAAUCUGUUGGCCGUAAGGCCGUGCCGGUUCGAUUCCGGCCGUCCGUACCA
rnacentral:tRNA from 1 species